rnacentral:lncRNA from 1 species
CAGAGUCUUGCUCUGUUGCCCAGGCUGGAGUGCAGUGGCCGGAUCUCAGCUCACUGCAAGCUCCGCCUUCCGGGUUCACGCCAUUCUCCUGCCUCAGCCUCCCGAGUAGCUGGGACUACAGGCGCCCGCCACCACGCCCGGCUAAGUUUUUGUAUUUUUAGUAAAGACGGGGUUUCACCGUGUUAGUCAGGAUGGUCUCGAUCUCCUGACCUCGUGAUCCGCCCGCCUCGGCCUCCCAAAGUGCUGGGAUUACAGGCGUGAGCCACCGCGCCCGGCCCCCUAAGGUCACUUUUAAAGCAAAAUUCCUGACAACGUGGACUUUCCUCUGCCGUAAUGGGUAGAGAGUCUUGAAAAUUGCCCGGAUCCCAGCCUAGUUCCUCUAAUUGGUAUGUUUUCUCAGGGAGUUAUCUAAAGAGUGGAGGUGUUUUGCUUUAAGGGAAAGCCUGGGGAUGGAGGAGCGGGUUGUGCAUAGACAUUUUCAGGUUUGGGAGACAAGCCAGUGCUACGCGGUUGCCAUAGUAACCUGACGUCAUAUUAGCGACGGUGACGACCUUUUAAUGAGACCAAUUUGGCCUGGGUAGAACAGCAGUGUCUCACCUUCAGGCGUUUGGACUCGGUGGAGGUUGUGAGUGCCUAGCAGUGUGGGCUGAAUCUCCUUGGGGUUUAGGGAGACGAAAGGACCCCAGAUCGACGUCCCCUCGUUCCCACUUUGGAGAUCGGCGCUCUGGCUGUUUCGUGAGAGAGAGAGAGGAACUCAGAGUGGUUUUCCAGAUGGGAAUCACAUUGCUCUCUGUCCCUGAGAUCUUGCUGGAGACAGGGCUACUCAGUCCCUCUUUGCUGGAUCAUCUGUUCCAGAGGAAACGUGUCAUUCUGACUGAGCCCCUGCCUGUCUGUCACCUUAAGAACCAGUCAAUUCAUAUGGUCCACAUAUCAAGGUCUCCUGUGCCCAGAGAGAGGAUUUCAUUUCAGCCGUCACCAUCACCACCAUCAUCAUCAUCACCAGGAGGGGUUGUUGAAUUGAUAUUGGAAAAGCAGUUUCUAUUGAGCCCCCAAAUGAAGAGUGAGUGCAGAUGA